UAAUAAAGACCUUAAUAUUUGUGCACUAUAGUGCUAAUUGCAACAACAUUUUCACCGUAAUUAGUACGAUUGUGAACUAGGGUAACGAUUUGAACUCUGUAUCAAAACGACGCAACCGUAUUGAGUUUAGGCUUUUUAGAAUUGCUCUCAUGAGUAAAUGAUAAACGUUUUAAAAUAAAAGUACAUCAGUAGUCGUUAAAUCCUUGUAUCAGAAACACAUUAGUUCAUAAAAAACUUAUCGCCAUUUUCUUGUAAUCAUGUAGGUGAGUAACUCAGACAAAAGUAGGAUUAGCUUAUAUGUCGUUCGUACACGCGUACAAAUACUAAUUAAAGCAAACAACACAGAAAACUAGUAAGAGCCUUAAGAAAAAUAACUUUAUACCUUAUAAAUCCGAUAAUUAUACCCUAUCGCUUUUACAUACGCAAGUAAAUAAAUUUUGAGUAAGCCAAGCAUAAUUAAACCUUAUUCAUAUGGUAUUAAGAAGUUUUCAACUGAACGCGACAUCACAUUUGUCACACAAGUACAAAAACUGCGUUGCUAAAUUUAAAAGCUACAACUCCUAAUUAAUCUCUAUUCAAAUUUAUACCUUAAUACAACUAGUGAAGUUCGAAUUUCGAGUGUUACACGGGUUUAGUUACGUCUCUUCGUCUUCGAUGUUGUCCAUCACAAUGCUGCGUCACUCAGUCUUAUCUUGAAGCGCAAUGAAGAUUGCAGUGAUUUUUGUAUUCAUUAUUUUGGCGAUAUCACACUUUGGCUUUUCUGACACGAGAAGUUACCAUGAUACCUAUUUCGUUGGUGUUAUGAAGAGCCUGAGAUCCGGAAGGGGAAGAAAACCGAUGUUAAAAGUGUUGCUUCUCAAAGGGAAAAGUAAAAAAAAAGUUGAUUUCCAUUCAAGCAACUGGAGCAAAAUGGAGUGGGUGGAUAGCCGAAGACGGAUAAUUCCAAUUAUUUUAAACAAAUAGAAUUAAACGAAACAAA